rnacentral:miRNA from 1 species
GGGUCGACAUGAGAACAUAUG